rnacentral:lncRNA from 1 species
CUAUUAACUCGUUUGUGUUCAAAUGAAAUGGCUCAACGUUCUCAUUGAUAGAAAGGUGGUACAUAUACAAAGUGAUGAGAAGCUAAAAGACAAUGUGCACAGCUGGUAGCUGGCUGAAAGAGAGUAGGUGAGCUUGAGGCUCUAACGGAAUUUGCAGAAAUGCAGAGGAACAGAGAAGAGGACGAUGAGCUGUUCUGAUCAGUGCAACGAUGACGUUUUGUUCUUAUCUUCAUCACUUAACAGAACGCUCCGUUUCAUUUAGUCGUUGGUGUAGAGAGGAAGAAACGCUCCGUUUCACUUGAAGCUUGGAGAGUGUGAAGUUUGGCGGGAAAAUGAAAAAUCAUUUCCAAUACCCCUCCUCAAGCUGGUGGGCACAGAUUGUGCAGACCAAGCUUGGAUAUUAAGUAGUUGAAUGGUGCUGGGGAGACGGCUUUCGUCAGAACAUCAGCAACCUGAACUCCAGUAGGGACAUGGAUGAGCUUGAUUAUCUUGGAUUGGACCUUUUCUCGAACAAAAUGGCAAUCCAAUUCAAUAUGUUUUGUUCUUUCAUGGAAGACUGCAUUCUCUGCCACAUGCAUUGCAGACUGGUUAUCACAGAAGAUUGUUGCUGCUUGGUAGUGCUUUGCUUGGAAUUCUGAGAGCAGAUAGAGUAGCCACUGCAGCUCACUAGCAGUAUGAGCAAGUGCACGAUACUCUGCCUCACAGGAACUUCUGGAAAUGGUGCUUUGUUUCUUGCUUUUCCAGGAAAUUGGUGAGUUUCCCAGGAAGACACAGAACCCUGUCACAGAUCUUCUGGUGUCUGGACAUGCUGCCCAGUCUGAAUCACUAUAAGCCUGCAACUGAAGAUUUGAAGUAGAAGAUAGAAGAAUUCCAGUAGCAGGAACUCCCUUCAAGUAUCUGAGGACCCUUGAAACAGCCUUGUAAUGAUCGUUUAAGGGUCUAGACAUAAACUGGCUCACCUGUUGAGUGGCAAAGCUAAUGUCUGGUCUUGUAUUGUUUAAGUAGAUCAGCUUCCCUACUAUUCUUCUGUAUAAUUCCGGAUUGUGGAAUUCAUCAUCACCUGUAGAGGACAGAUGUGUCUUGUAGUCCAUUGGGGUAGCAAGUGGCUUGCUCUCCAACAUGUCUGCUUCUUCCAGUAGUUCUAGUAUGUAUUUUCUUUGAGAUAAAUGUAUUCCUGACACACUUCUUGUGACUUCUAAUCCCAGAAAAUACUUUAGUUCACCCAAGUCUUUGAUCUUAAAUGCACUGUGUAGUUCCUCUUUCAACUUCAAAAUCUCUGUUAAGUCGUUUCCUCCCACAAUCAAAUCAUCAACAUAAACCAAAAUAGCUGUGAACGACAUACCACCAUUCUUCAGGAAGAGAGAGUGAUCGACUUUGCUUUGAGUGUAGCCUAACUGUUGUAGUUUGUCUGAAAGCUUGCAGUACCACUGCCUUGAUGCUUGCUUGAGACCAUAGAGCGAUUUUAGCAAUUUGCAUACUGGUCUUUUCAGUGCACUGCUUACUCUCAUUCCUUGAGGCACCUUCAUGUAGACUUCUUCAUGCAGGUCACCAUGAAGAAAUGCGUUGUUCACGUCUAACUGGUGUACAAACCAGUCUCUUGAAGCAGCAAGUGCAAGAAAGGUCCUUAUGGUUGUCAUUUUGACGACUGGUGAGAAAGUUUCUUGAUAGUCGACCCCUUCUUCUUGUGUGAACCCCUUUGCUACUGCUCUUGCUUUGAACCUUUCAACUGAGCCAUCAGAUUUAUACUUAAUUCUGUAAACCCAUUUGCUUCCAACUUCUUUCUUUCCUUCAGGCAGAUCAACAACUUCCCAUGUGUUGUUAAUCUCCAAAGCCUUUGUUUCCUGAUUCAUUGCUUCAGUCCACCUAGGGUCUCUGGCAGCUUCUGCAUAGGACCUAGGUUCCCUUUCUGUUGUUAUACUCAAAGCAAAGUGUUUAUGUUCACGAUCCAUAUCAUCAUAAGACAAGACAGUAUUGAGAGGAUGAGCUAUCUUUCCAGCUAUGUGUGCAUUAGGACAUACCUUUGAAACAUCACAGUUGGGGUUGCCUUGAUGCACAAGGAGCUGACAAUGAUAAUCCUGCAGGUAGGAGGGUGGUUUGUGAUGUCUGGUGCUUUUUCUGUUGUGUGGAGAAUUUUGAGGGACAGGGGAUUGAGAAGAGGUUUGAGAGGCAGGUGACUGGGAAGGAAUAUUGUGUUCACUGUCACUGGUAUUACUGUGUUCGUCAUCAUUGACAUUAUCAGUGCUGGGAAUGUACUCAUCCUCACUAUGAAUGAUAGGGUGUGGUUCAGUUUCAGGUGUAGGAUGAUCAGAAGGAUUGGUGGAGUGGCCAGUAUCCGGUAAAUCGGUGAAGUCUUGGUCAAAGGAAGGCAUUUGAUCAGCGGAAGAGUAGACUUGGUUGGUGCUGUUGCUGGUGUGAAAAGGAAAGACAUUUUCAUAGAAUUUGACAUCCCUAGAGACAAAUGUUUGGUGAGAAUCUAAGUCAUAGACUUUGUAACCCUUGAUUCCAGGUGUGAACCCUAUGAAGACUCCUUUUCUAGCUCGUUUCUGGAAUUUGGUUCUGUGUCCAGCAAGUGUGCUUGCAUAACACAAGCAACCAAAGACUUUUAAGUCUUCCAGUUUGGGUUUAGAAUGGUGAAAGGCUUCGUAGGGGGUGUUAUUGUCAAGGAGGUGAGUGGGGAUACGGUUCAUUAGAAACACAGAAUGCUUAACACAAUCAGACCAGAAAGUCAAGGGAAGGUUGGCUUGAAAUUUGAGAGCUCUAGCUAUGUUUAAAAUUUGUUGGUGCUUUCUCUCAACCUUACUGUUUUGUUGAGGUGUUUCUACACAAGAUGUUUCAUGGAGAAUCCCAUUUUCCUGAUAGAAGAGAGGCAUAAAAAAUUCUUUGCCUUGAUCACUACGUAUUCGUUGAACACUAGUUUUGUGUUGGUUUGUGACAUAGGAGCAGAAAUUUUGUAGAGAUGAUCUAGCUUCUGACUUUAGUUUCAGCAUCAUGAUCCAAGUCAUUCGUGUGAAAUCAUCAACAAUGGUUAAGAAAUAGAGAUAGCCAUCAUAUGAGGGGCAGGAGUUUGGACCCCAAAGAUCAACAUGAAUUAAUUCAAAAGGAGUUUUAGUGCUGGAGACACUAUGAGGGAAAGACAGACGUUUUUGACGAGCAAAAUGACAAACAUCACAGGGGGCUAAGUGGAAAGUUUCUAUACUAGGGAGAAUUUUCUUAAGAAAGGGAGUUCUAUGGUGGGAAACAUGUCCUAGACGGUAAUGCCAUAAAUCAAAGGGCUUAUUUCGUUGAGUGGAGGCGAUGUGACUAACUGGUUUGCAGGUUGUCAGCUUGUAGAGUCCCUUGUGCAGUUCAGCUAAACCAAUCGUGGUGUUCCUCGAUAGGUCCUGCAACACACAAUGGGUGGAAGAGAAAGUCAGUCUCAAUGGUUGUUGAGCUGUUAGUCUACUGACUGAUAUCAAAUUGAAUGCGAAAUCAGGCACAUAUAGAACAUUAUGUAGUGAUAAGGUGUCAUUAAUCAACACUGUUCCAGAAUGAGUGGCUUGGACUUGCUGUCCAGUAGGCAGAGUGAUCAUCAAAGCAUCAAUUUGUUUGCUCGAUUCCAUUAGGUUGAGUGAGCUGACUACAUGGUCUGAUGCACCUGUGUCUACAAUCCAAAUAAUUUCAUUUGGUGUGGAAUGCAUGAAACUACUACAACAAUACUUGCCUGCUGAGUACAUCAGUGCAGUUGGCUUAUGAGAACCUGGUGUUUGGGAUGUGCCUGGUUGUGCUGCUGGAUCCUUGAGCCUCACAGCAUUCAUAAGUUGGGAGAACUGAUCCUGUGUCAGUUGGAUGUUGCCUCCUUCACUUGAUUGUGAAGCUGCAUGAACCUGUGGUUUGAAGGCUCCAUGAUUUGCAGCAUAGGAAGGUCUAGGACCAUAUUGUUGUCUUGGUCCUUGCUGUGGCAUGGGCCUGGGAGUGACUCCUGGUGGAAAGCCAAUUUUGAAGAAGCAUCUAUCCACUGUGUGGUUUUGCAUUUUGCAGAAGGUGCAAAAUAGAUUCUUGCCCUUUUGAGGUCCUGGUCGAAAACCUCCUGGUUGAGCAGCUUGCUGGCCUGCAUAGUUGAUGUUGUAUGAAGGAGCCAGCAUUGUCAUAGGUUCAUUAGAGCCUUUGAGUUGUGUUCCAUACAGCUGCCUUUCAUGUUGUAUCAUGCGUUGAACAACCUUAUCUAUGUUUGGUAGCUCAUCACCAAACAAAACUUGUGUUCGAGGGCCAGAAAAGUUUUCAUUCAGACCUCUCAGGAAGUGAAUGACAUUGUUGGUGUCUUCAUACACAUACACCUUUCUCAUUGCCAAACAGUCAAGGUGACUGGUUGCAGUGCAGUCACAGUUGAACAAGGGCUGAUAAUUUCUCAGCUCAUCCCUUAGAGUGAUGAUUGAUCCAUAAUACUCAGUAACAGUUUGGUUACCUUGUUUCAGAUUUGAGAGCUGCUCCAGUAGUUCUGCAAUCCUGAUCACAUCUCCUUGACCAUAUCUAGCUUUCAAGCUUUCCCAUGCAUCCUGUGCAUUCUUCAAUCCCAUGAUCGUCUUUCUGAUGCCUGGUUCGACUGAUUGUUGCAACCAGCUAAGAACCAUGAUGUUGCAACGAGUCCAGGGCCAGAACAUUGGGUCCAUGACCUCUGGUUCUUCAAUACUUCCAUCGAUGAAUCCAACUUUGUUCUUUGCUCCAAGUGCGUUGUGUAUAGCUCUGCUCCAAUCAGUGUAGUUGCUCGUGGUGAGCUUCUCAGUAACGAGUGAUUGCCCUGGCUGCUCACUACCAUGGAGGUAGUAAGGAUCAGCUAAGGGAUAUUCAGCUGCCAUUGUGGAUUCUAACCUCGCUCUGAUACCAUAUUAACUCGUUUGUGUUCAAAUGAAAUGGCUCAACGUUCUCAUUGAUAGAAAGGUGGUACAUAUACAAAGUGAUGAGAAGCUAAAAGACAAUGUGCACAGCUGGUAGCUGGCUGAAAGAGAGUAGGUGAGCUUGAGGCUCUAACGGAAUUUGCAGAAAUGCAGAGGAACAGAGAAGAGGACGAUGAGCUGUUCUGAUCAGUGCAACGAUGACGUUUUGUUCUUAUCUUCAUCACUUAACAGAACGCUCCGUUUCAUUUAGUCGUUGGUGUAGAGAGGAA